AUUGAACGCUGGCGGCAUGCCUUACACAUGCAAGUCGAACGGCAGCGGGGGAGAAGCUUGCUUUUCCUGCCGGCGAGUGGCGAACGGGUGAGUAAUACAUCGGAACGUGCCCUGUAGUGGGGGAUAACUAGUCGAAAGAUUAGCUAAUACCGCAUACGACCUGAGGGUGAAAGUGGGGGACUGCAAGGCCUCAUGCUAUAGGAGCGGCCGAUGUCUGAUUAGCUAGUUGGUGGGGUAAAGGCCUACCAAGGCGACGAUCAGUAGAUGGUCUUAGAGGACGAUCAGCCACACUGGGACUGAGACACGGCCCAGACUCCUACGGGAGGCAGCAGUGGGGAAUUUUGGACAAUGGGCGAAAGCCUGAUCCAGCAAUGCCGCGUGUGUGAGGAAGGCCUUCGGGUUGUAAAGCACUUUUGUCCGGAAAGAAAUGGCUCUGGUUAAUACCUGGGGUCGAUGACGGUACCGGAAGAAUAAGGACCGGCUAACUACGUGCCAGCCGCCGCCGUAA
rnacentral:rRNA from 1 species